CAAAUAAUUUAUUUCCAGAAAAAUACAAUAUUAUACAACUUCAGAUUAAGACAAAUCCCCACACUAGGCAUAGCCUGUCCUGUGGGGCCAGAAAAUUCGAGAGAUAUU